rnacentral:tRNA from 1 species
GCAUUGGUGGUUCAUGGGUAGGAUUCUCGCCUUCCACGCGGGAGACCUGGGUUCGAUUCCCAGCUCAUGCA